AAAGAAUUACUUGAAAUAAAUUUUAGUAAUUAUGAAAAUGAUCCGAGAAGCUUAGAAAAUUUGGUAAAAAAGAGAGUAACUAAUAAAGUCACUGAUGGUCAACCAGUAGGUAAGGAAGGCGUAUCGGUAGGUGAGGCAAACGUAUCAGAUGUGGAAGAACAAGGGGAGGAAAAAACAAAACAUUUAGAGUACAGCUAUGACUAUGAUCGUAUUUUUAAAAAUAAAAAAUUUAUGAAAGAACAGGUUGAUUAUAAAGAGAAACUUACAUUAAAGGAUGACAGUACAAAAAUAAUUGAACACACAGGUAUACAUACACUAAAUAAUUUUUUAAAUGAUUAUAAAAACGAUUUUGAUUUAGCUUACUAUAAAGGGCGGAGGGAUCAAAAUUUUGGAAGAGAAGAUAAAACAGAUAAACAUAUUAGUAAUGAAAAAGAAAAAAAUAGUAUGCACGAUAAUACGCAUGACAUGGUUAAUAAUAAAGUAUAUGAUGAAAAAAUGUAUCAUGACAAAAUAAAUAAAAAUAAUGAAACGGAUAGACACCACCAGGAGAGUGGCCAGGAGGGUGGCCAGGAGAGUGACCAGGAGAGUGACCAGGAGAGUGACCAGGAGAGUGAUCAGCUAGAAUCUAUCAAUUUUUUUAAAAAGAUAAAACAAGAAUUUCAUAUCGAAAGAAAUGAUUAUAUAAAUAAUUCAGUGAAACAGAUAGAAGAUGAGUACAUGAAUAAAAAUUAUGAUAACAAAAAAAGUACCGAGGAAAGUAGUAUGAAGUACGAAGAUAAAAAUGAUGCUAAUAGAGAUUCAAACAAAAGAAAAGAGUUAGAAACUGAUGAAAAAAAGUUUACUAAUUAUAUAACUAAUAAAAUAAAAAAUGAUGACAAUAAUAAUAUGAUGGUAAAUAAAUUAAUAAAAACGAAUUUUAUAAAAAUGUUUAGUUUUGAUAAUGAAAUAAAAACAAUAAAUAAUAAAAUAAAAAAAAGUACAAAUUUAAAUGAAAUUUUAGAAAUAUUUAAAGAUCAUAAAAGAAUAAACAUAAUUAAUAUUAUGUAUUGUUUUAUAUAUAUGAACAGAUUAAAAAAAUUAAAUAUGAAUGAUUAUAUAUAUGAUAGAAGGUUUAUAUAUAUAACAGACUCAUUGGAAUAUAUAUUAAAAUAUUAUCUUUAUGCUUUUAACAAUCAGAUGAUUA
rnacentral:lncRNA from 1 species